rnacentral:misc_RNA from 1 species
ACCCACUCGUGCGCCGCGGCCUUAUCCCAAAGUUGCAUUGCAUCCAUCGUGCCUGAUCUCCCUCCCAAUAAGCACGUCUGUUUCUCCCCAGCUCCAAGCCGGACGACGCAGCGUAGCAGCAGAGAGCCAGAGACCAGAGAUGGCCGCCCUCGCCGCCGCCUCCACGGCCGCCUUCGCCGCGAAGCCGCGCGCGCGCCUCUCCGUGGCCUGCUCCGCCGCCACCGGCGACAGCAGCAGCGUGUCGCUCGCGUCCUCCGUGAAGACGUUCUCCGCCGCGCUGGCGCUGUCGUCGGUGCUGCUGUCCUCGGCCGCCACCUCCCCUCCGCCCGCGGCCGCCGACAUCGCGGGGCUGACCCCGUGCAAGGAGUCCAAGGCGUUCGCGAAGCGCGAGAAGAACUCGAUCAAGAAGCUCACCGCGUCGCUGAAGAAGUACGCGCCCGACAGCGCCCCCGCGCUCGCCAUCAACGCCACCAUCGAGAAGACCAAGCGCCGGUUCGAGAACUACGGCAAGUUCGGGCUGCUGUGCGGCGCCGACGGCCUGCCGCACCUCAUCGUCAGCGGCGACCAGCGGCACUGGGGCGAGUUCGUCACCCCGGGCCUGCUCUUCCUCUACAUCGCCGGCUGGAUCGGGUGGGUCGGCAGGAGCUACCUCAUCGCCAUCAGCGGCGAGAAGAAGCCCGCCAUGAGGGAGAUCAUCAUCGACGUCGAGCUCGCCACCCGCCUCCUCCCCAGGGGGUUCAUCUGGCCCGUCGCCGCCUACCGCGAGCUCAUCAACGGGGACCUCGUCGUCGACGACAAGGACAUCGGCUACUACUAGCUGCGCUUGUUCACCUGCUUGCACUGUGCAUAUAUAUUGCUGCUGCCGAGCUGGGCGCUUGGAUAGUACGUGGGGAAACAUGGAUGGCUUUUGGUGUAGGAGCUGCAUGCUUUGCUAGGGCUAUCUGGUCAUGUAGGAAAUGGAAGCUCUGCUGUACUUUAAGAAACUUGAUGAAACCUUUGUAUAACUCAACUGUACCUCUAUCUAUCCCUUGUGUGUAUUUGAGAACGAUUUCAGAGCAUGUCUGGUUCGGGCGUCUAUUAGGGCUUGUUCAUUUAGCUCUUAAUCCAUGUGGAUUGAGUCGGAUUGAAUGGGUUUGAAUCACAAACAAGUCAAACUUCUUUUUAAUUUUUUCCAAUCCCAUCCAAUCCAUGUGUAUUGGGAAUAACCGAACAAGACCUUAGAUGGAGCAUAAAUUUUUUUCAAUCCCAUCCAAUCCAUGUGUAUUGGUAAACUAGAGGGAAGCGGCGAGCUGUUACAUUAUUAGACCUAGAAUGACUUUGUUCUGUGUUUAUAAGAUAGAAGGCCCCAUUCUAUUCCGUGAGCG